rnacentral:rRNA from 1 species
AACGAACGCUGGCGGCAUGCCUAACACAUGCAAGUCGAACGAGACCUUCGGGUCUAGUGGCGCACGGGUGCGUAACGCGUGGGAACCUGCCCUUAGGUUCGGAAUAACUCCCCGAAAGGGGUGCUAAUACCGGAUAAUGUCUUCGGACCAAAGAUUUAUCGCCUUUGGAUGGGCCCGCGUUGGAUUAGCUAGUUGGUAGGGUAAAAGCCUACCAAGGCGACGAUCCAUAGCUGGUCUGAGAGGAUGAUCAGCCACACUGGGACUGAGACACGGCCCAGACUCAUACGGGAGGAAGCAGUGGGGAAUAUUGGAAAAUGGGCGAAUGCUUGAUCAAGCAAUGCCGCGGGAGUGAUGAAGGCCUUAGGGUUGUAAAGUUCUUUUACCCGGGAUGAGAAGGACAUUACCGGGAGAAUAGGCUCCGGCUAACUCCAUG